CAUGUAUAGGAGGUCCAGCCUGCCCAGUGACUACAAGUUCAACGGCCGCGGUAUUUUGACCGUGCAAAGGUAGCGCAAUCACUUGUCUUUUAAAUAGAGACCUGUAUGAAUGGCUAAACGAGGGCUUAACUGUCUCCCCUUUCCAGUCAGUGAAAUUGAUCUGCCCGUGCAGAAGCGGACAUAAAAAUACAAGACGAGAAGACCCUUUGGAGCUUAAGGUACAAAACUCAACCGCGUCAAGCAACUCAAUAAAAAGCAAAAACUUUGCGGAACAUGAGAUUUUACCUUCGGUUGGGGCGACCACGGAGGAAAACAAAGCCUCCAAGUGGAUUGGGAAAACCUCCUAAAACCAAGAGAGACAUCUCUAAGCCACAGAACAUCUGACCAAACAUGAUCCGGCUGCCCGAAGCCGAUCAACGAACCAAGUUACCCUAGGGAUAACAGCGCAAUCCUCUCCCAGAGUCCAUAUCGACGAGAGGGUUUACGACCUCGAUGUUGGAUCAGGACAUCCUAAUGGUGCAGCCGCUAUUAAGG
rnacentral:rRNA from 1 species